AUAAUGUUUGGAUGCUAAAUGUUAAAAUUUCAUAUCUAAACUUUAAUUUUAGCAUAGCCCCUGGGCAAGGAUGACACACAAAUUCAGGAAGCAUUCCAUUUUUUU